UACUUCCGGUAUGUCUCACAGGGGAAACACAAACCAAGCUCGGUGAAAAAGUGGCGUGCACAAUCUGACAACUUUGUACAGUACAAUUGUACGUGCACAGUGAACCUCAACAACCUGUCAAUAGUGGAUCUUUUUCUCCUGGAUCUCGCUGCUUCAGUGGCCAAAAUACUGCAAGGAUACGGCAGGCCGUGGAGCAGCUAAGUAGUAAUCACAGAUCCUGCUGCCUGGCUGUCAGCUGGGAUUGUCUGUCUGCUCCAGAAGGAGUGCUCAAAGCAACACGGGUGACUCCACAGAGUUUGAAGGAUGCUAAAUAUCUGCUGCACGACUUUCAUGUGCAUCUGUCACAAACAUUAGUUUAUGAUACUUUUUCAUUGUUCCUUUUGUUCGUCUAUUUGUAGACCAGUGUGGACCAAUACAACGCACUUCGAAAAACAAAACAAGGGAAACAUUACAUGAAAUACAAACUAAAGCCGUGCUGUAAUUAAAUCGCAGCUGCUCAGUCUUUAAACAUCGCUGCAAGUUGGGACUGUCUGCUAGUUUCAGAGGACAGCAUCAACACCCCCACUUUCAGCAUGAGUGAGUUAACAGACUUUGAUAGAGGCCAAAUUAUUGGUGCCCAGCUUGCAGGUCUGUCAGUCAGAAAAACUGCCCAAUUAUGUGAUGUAUCAAGUCAGACUGUCAUCAAAGUUACGAGUGUUUAUAACAAAUACGGACACACUCCAUCAGCUAAGAAGAGCAGUCGGCACAAGCCACAGACAAAAAGGAUAAGAGUGACAAAAGGUGGUGCUAAUGGAGGAGCUGGCAGUGAGAAACCUGUACCUGACCCUGAGGUCAACAUGAAAAAUUCUGAUGAAGACAGCAAAAGACCUGAAUCCCAGACCGAAGAGCAGGAGUAGUAUGGUCUGAUAAACUGUACUUCUCUGGCUUCUUUUGGGUGGUUAUUAUCUACAUAAAGCCACCAGAUGGCUUCACUUUUGUUUUUGAGCCAUUCUAUCGGCUAAGAACACACUCUCCUGUUUUGAAAGCAGUGAGUUUUGCUACGUGUGCUGGCAUUAAGAAGAGAAGUGAAGAAGUCGAAGUGGACCUGUUUUGGUAAUUCAUCUUCAAAAUAUAGGUUACUUUUUUAUGUGCUUGUGGAACAGUGUUACCAUUGCAUCUAUAGUGUGCAGUGAUUUCAGUGAUAGAAAAUGCAUAUAUGGUCUCAUGCUAGUCUCUGCUGUUCUUUUCCUGUGUUGGGUCUUUGUUCUGACCACAAGUUUAGUAUGCAUGUCGACCCCCUGUUUUUGUUUUGUUACUGUAGUUUGAUCUUUGACCGUCAGUCUCUGUCAUGACCAUCAGAAUGAAGAACACUGUGGCUGUUGACUGCUUCAAAAACGAACUUUAGAAAAUGCUUAAUGCAGCUUGUGCCACCUGUGAAGAAUUGCUCAGCUAUCUAGUUUUCUGCAGUUAAGCGAUGUAAAGCAGCAGUCAUAGCGCUUUAUUCUGAAAGGCUCGGACCAGAAGUACUAGUUCUCUCCCUGGGGAAGCACAGGCACAGCGCUGUGAUAAAGUAGCGGUGGAAAGAUUGACUCCGUUGUUCAGUUUAAGUUGCAAAGGGAACCUGCACAACCUCUCAGCAGGAGAUCUGUCUUCCCCUCGUCCCAGCUUCAGUGUGCAAAAUACUGCAAGAACCAGACUGAGGACUUUGGAUCAGCUAAGUGGUGACUACAGAUCCUGCUUCCUGGCUGUCAGGUGGUAUUGUCUGCCUCCUGUGGAAGGAGUGUUCAAAGGAACAUGAGUGACUUAACAGAGUUUGAAAGGUGCCAAAUAGUUGCUGCACGACUUUCAGGCGCGUCCGUCACAAAAACUGCACAGCUGUUUAAUGUGGCGAGAGGGACGGUCUCCAGAGUCAUGACUGUAUACAUCAAACAUGGACGAACAGCAUCAGCAAAGAAAAACAGCGGGCGCAAGUCAAAGCUGUCCGAAAAGGAUAGACAGACACUUCUCAGAAUGGUUGAUGAACACCCUGAGUAUACGGCUUCAAAAAUAACCACAGAGUUGAAUAGACACCUCUCUCACACUGUUUCAGUAAAAACUAUAAGGCGUGAGCUUCACAAAGCUGGUAUUUUUAGAGGAGCAGCCAAUAGGAAACCCGAGACGGAGACUGACACACAAAAGCCAGAUGAAGAGAACACUGAAUAUGCACCUGACACACAUAAACCUGGUGAACGGAUCGCAAGACCUGAUAUGCAAACGACAAAUGACAAAGAGCGCGGCUCACAGAAGCCUGCGGAAGACAGAGCAAUGUCCCAACCCCAGGUGAGCGUCAAAGAGUACGACACAGAAAAAUCUGAAGAAAGAAUAUAACCUGAAGCCCAAGUCAGUGAAGAAGACUACAGCACACAAAAGCUUGAUGAAGAGGGCACGGGGUCUGGAUCCCAGACAAGUGAAAAGGAAUGAAAUGAUGACCUUUCCAACAUCCAGAUUGGUUGUUUAAGUGAAAACCACAGAAAAUCAUUCACCCUUUAAUGUUGCCAACUGCUUAUUCUGUGAUGACAUUUACAUUUUUAGAUUUGAUUCUUUAUUUUAGAGUGUCUCAUGGCGCAAUGUUCAGGCUUUUGUCAAGUGUUUUCAAUUUUUGUGUCUUAAAAGCAAAAGUGAAUUAAAUGUAGGCUGUCUGGAGUUUGCCAAAAUAGCUGAAAAUAUGCAAACUGUAGAUGUUUAUGUAUAUGAUGUUUACGUAUGCUCUAUAUUAUGAUAUUGUCCACUGCAAAGCACUCACUAUGAUGCAGAUUAUGUUUCUAAUUCGUAGACGAAUGUCAUGCUGAAAUGAUAUCUGCGGUUUCACAACAUAUCUGAUUUUCUGUGUUGUACUGCAAGCAAACAACUACAAUCCCACAAGAGUAUGAGAAUAUAACUAUUGAAGUCACUGUGGGGGGAAAAAAAAAUGAGUAUUUUAUUUUAUUCCACAAUAUGUCCGGUUCUCAGUAGUAGAGCUCGAUAAUGUGCGUCUCGGAGAUGUCUUUUCAGGUUUCUCAGGCUAUCGUGCUCAGAUUCAGUGGUUGCUGCUCUCAUGUUCUGCCCCAGCUUCACCAAGGCCCUGCACAAAUUGAAACUCCGGGCUUCCAGUCAUCCCUUCAGCAGCCCAUGAAAAGAUGCGGCAGGGAUGGGAGUAGGAGGCAAAGUGUCAGACAACGUGUAGUGUUUCUACAGCAUUUUAGAACAUUGCACAAAAGUUGUCUGUACUUUCUGUGGCGAUGUUUGAUUUGUCAGCAAAAUAAAGGAUGAAUGAAUUUUGCAUUGUUGCCUAACGCAUAGUGUGCAUGUCUUUGCAAAAUGAUGAUCAUUUUCAAAAUCUGAAUAUAAAAAGUGUUUUUUUUUUUUUUUUUACAAUAACCGUCCAUAAAUAUCAAAAAUCAAAUACCAUAAUUUCAGUUUGUCUUUUAUUGGUUUGGUAUUGAUUACAGAAUUUGCAAAAACUAAUAAACUGUUGAUUUAAAAAGGC